AGAGUUUGAUCCUGGCUCAGGAUGAACGCUGGCGGCGUGCCUAAUACAUGCAAGUCGAGCGAACAUCAUAGAAGCUUGCUUCUAUGAUGUUAGCGGCGGACGGGUGAGUAACACGUGGGCAACCUGCCUGUAAGACUGGGAUAACUCCGGGAAACCGGAGCUAAUACCGGAUAACAUUUUCUCUUGCAUAAGAGAAAAUUGAAAGAUGGUUUCGGCUAUCACUUACAGAUGGGCCCGCGGUGCAUUAGCUAGUUGGUGAGGUAACGGCUCACCAAGGCAACGAUGCAUAGCCGACCUGAGAGGGUGAUCGGCCACACUGGGACUGAGACACGGCCCAGACUCCUACGGGAGGCAGCAGUAGGGAAUCUUCCGCAAUGGACGAAAGUCUGACGGAGCAACGCCGCGUGAGUGAUGAAGGCUUUCGGGUCGUAAAACUCUGUUGUUAGGGAAGAACAAGUACAAGAGUAACUGCUUGUACCUUGACGGUACCUAACCAGAAAGCCACGGCUAACUACGUGCCAGCAGCCGCGGUAAUACGUAGGUGGCAAGCGUUAUCCGGAAUUAUUGGGCGUAAAGCGCGCGCAGGCGGUUUCUUAAGUCUGAUGUGAAAGCCCACGGGCUCAACCGUGGGAGGGUCAUUGGGAAACUGG
rnacentral:rRNA from 1 species